AAAUCAGGAUUAGAUACCCUGGUAGUCCACGCCGUAAACGAUGAGUGCUAAGUGUUAGAGGGUUUCCGCCCUUUAGUGCUGAAGUUAACGCAUUAAGCACUCCGCCUGGGUAGUACGGCCGCAAGGCUGAAACUCAAAGGAAUUGACGGGGGCCCGCACAAGCGGUGGAGCAUGUGGUUUAAUUCGAAGCAACGCGAAGAACCUUACCAGGUCUUGACAUCCUCUGACAACCCUAGAGAUAGGGCUUCUCCUUCGGGAGCAGAGUGACAGGUGGUGCAUGGUUGUCGUCAGCUCGUGUCGUGAGAUGUUGGGUUAAGUCCCGCAACGAGCGCAACCCUUGAUCUUAGUUGCCAUCAUUAAUUUGGGCACUCUAAGGUGACUGCCGGUGACAAACCGGAGGAAGGUGGGGAUGACGUCAAAUCAUCAUGCCCCUUAUGACCUGGGCUACACACGUGCUACAAUGGACGGUACAAAGAGCUGCAAGACCGCGAGGUGGAGCUAAUCUCAUAAAACCGUUCUCAGUUCGGAUUGUAGGCUGCAACUCGCCUACAUGAAGCUGGAAUCNUAAAAGUAAUNGCGAUCAUNCCCCCCGGGGGGAAU
rnacentral:rRNA from 1 species